GUGGAAGAGGCAGGAGUGAUCGAAUUUUAAGUGUCGCGCCGUGAUGUGUGUUUAAAGUUGAGUCAGCUAAGGAAAAGUGCCAAGUUCCGUAUAGCUACUAGUUUCGUGCGUGUGUUUUAGUAUUGUGCAGGUUUGUGGCAUACUGCGAAACCCCACACAUCGCACCCCAAAGCCAACGAUCGCUUCUGACCCCACCGUCAGCUACGAGGGUUUCCCGGAAGUACGUCGACCGGAAGAGGGCUUGCGUACGUUUCAUCGCGCCCUAGGCAGAGGUUGCAGUCAUCCGCGUUCAUCAUUGAAUUGCGCCAACCACAUACAGUUCAUCACCGCGAC